rnacentral:rRNA from 1 species
AUGACUCUGAUGAAGAUGAGCCGUAUGAGUAUGAAUCUGGAGAUGAUGUGGACGAGGGGAACGUCGAGUCCUUUGAAGAGAAGGAGGUGCAGAAGAUCAGGGCCCAAGGAUCUGCCAUGUACUACAACUGGAGGAAGGACAAGUACAGGUGCCCCUACUGCAGCAAGCCCAAGCCCAGGUCUGGGUUGCACGAGCAUCUAA